GAUAUUAGGCUAUGCCUGGAAUGGUUUGCCUUUGAAAUGUUUUUUCGCCUAAGGAUAGGUCUGCGGCUGAUUAGGUCGUUGGUGGGGUAAUGGCCCACCAAGCCGAUGAUCGGUACGGGUUGUGAGAGCAAGGGCCCGGAGAUGGAACCUGAGACAAGGUUCCAGACCCUACGGGGUGCAGCAGGCGCGAAACCUCCGCAAUGUACGAAAGUGCGACAGGGGGAUCCCAAGUGUUAUGCUUUUUUGUAUGACUUUUCAUUAGUGUAAAAAGCUUUUAGAAUAAGAGCUGGGCAAGACCGGUGCCAGCCGCCGCGGUAACACCGGCAGCUCGAGUGGUAGCUGUUUUUAUUGGGCCUAAAGCGUUCGUAGCCGGUUUGAUAAGUCUUUGGUGAAAGCUUGUAGCUUAACUAUAAGAAUUGCUGGAGAUACUAUUAGACUUGAAGUCGGGAGAGGUUAGAGGUACUACCGGGGUAGGGGUGAAAUCCUAUAAUCCUGGGAGGACCACCUGUGGCGAAGGCGUCUAACUGGAACGAUCUUGACGGUGAGUAACGAAAGCCAGGGGCGCGAACCGGAUUAGAUACCCGGGUAGUCCUGGCCGUAAACGAUGUGGACUUGGUGUUGGAAUGGCUUUGAGUUGUUCCGGUGCCGAAGGGAAGCUGUUAAGUCCACCGCCUGGGAAGUACGGUCGCAAGACUGAAACUUAA
rnacentral:rRNA from 1 species